UUUACUGUGAAGUAGAAUCUGAAGGAAGCUGAAGACGAAGUUAGGAGGUAACGAACAGGAAGUAGAUACAAGGCUUAUAUGAAGGGGAAGUUAGCAUUGAGUAAUGAAACCCAGUAAUUGAUCGUAGUUUAUAUGAGUAAAUCUAAUGCCUCCCUAAUGAAAGAAUUAUGU
rfam:Marine metagenome ctg_1101668406291, whole genome shotgun sequence.